rnacentral:rRNA from 1 species
CCUACGGGAGGCAGCAGUAGGGAAUCUUCCACAAUGGGCGAAAGCCUGAUGGAGCAACGCCGCGUGGGUGAAGAAGGUCUUCGGAUCGUAAAACCCUGUUGUUAGAGAAGAAAGUGCGUGAGUGUAACUGUUCACGUUUCGACGGUAUCUAACCAGAAAGCCACGGCUAACUACGUGCCAGCAGCCGCGGUAAUACGUAGGUGGCAAGCGUUAUCCGGAUUUAUUGGGCGUAAAGGGAACGCAGGCGGUCUUUUAAGUCUGAUGUGAAAGCCUUCGGCUUAACCGGAGUAGUGCAUUGGAAACUGGGGGACUAGAGAGCAGGAGAGGGGAGUGGAACUCCAUGUGUAGCGGUGAAAUGCGUAGAUAUAUGGAAGAACACCAGUGGCGAAAGCGGCUCUCUGGUCUGUAACUGACGCUGAGGUUCGAAAGCGUGGGUAGCAAACAGGAUUAGAUACCCGUGUAGUC